UUCAAUAUAACUUCAAAAAAUUCUAUUUUCUGCAUUUCUCUGUUUUAAUAAAUCAAUGGAACUGAUGAAUAACGGAAAUGAGAACUAAAGUUGACUUUAAGUUAGAAUCGGAACUAAAGUUCAAAUAAGCUGAAAAAAAUGACCGAACCGGAUCAGGUUGGACAAGUUCAGGUCAAUAUUUAGUGGCAAUGUUACUCAAUAAUCAAUAGGCUUUUAUAGUAGGCAAGUAAGAAGCAUCACUCUUGUUUCGUUUAGAUCCAUCUUCAUGUGUUCAACUUACAGUUAUCAAACAACCAACAAUGUUGAUAUCUCAGCAAAUAAUUUUUAUAACUGUUAUGAUGCUAUGCCAUUGUACUUUAAUCGUUUGGUCUGGCUCGCUUACACGAUCUGUAUCAUCAGAAUCAACUUCAUCAAAUGUUAAUAAAACAGAUAAAUUUGUCACUUUGGUUGAUCCAAAGGCCAAUGUAUCUCAACUCAGUGAAGCCCGAUUGUUACAUCCAUUUUUACCAAAACGUGAAACAUCAGUUAUGAAUGUCAUAGGGCAAAUUAUGCCUGGACUUUACAUGUUGAUCAAUAUUCCGAUGUUUUUAUGGUCUUUAUUGACUCCAGUACAAAUCAUCGAAGAGGUUCUUAAGAAUAAUCAACCGAACCUAAAUGCAAUCGACUAUUUUGGCGCACGUUUGGACAUGUAUUUGAAAAACAGAAAUGCAAACAAUUCUUAGUGCUAUCUGUAGAUAAUAACAUGAUCUAAAUGAAAUCUACUCAAUGAGACUAUUUUGCUUCUGAUACCAAUUAAAAUCAAUCAAUUUUCUCAGUGCUAUUGUGCAGUCGAAAUACAAAACUAUUGAAAUGUAAUAAUUUUCAGAUAAUCGAUCAACAGUCAGCAAAAUAAUCAAAUUAACACCGAUUCUGCAGUGAUUCAACUUGUCAUUGUUUCACAUUUUCACAUGUUAAUAAAAUCUAUUUGCUGUCUGAUGAAACUGUUAUUAAACUAACGAAUUAUAUGUCUUUUUGAAUAACUCAAUAAAAAUUGUACUUAUUCAUUAAUCUUCGCAUCUUUCAAUGAUUUUUGUUUAAUUUUUAGCCUGGUGAGUGAACCUUAAAAGUCAAGUUAUAUUUUGUGAAUAACAUGAUCGGAACCGGAUUAGUGUUUUGCUGACCAAAUAAAAUCUAUUUGAAAGAGAGUCCUCUUUGAUGGAAACCUAUUUUACUGUCACUUGUUAUCCGUAUAACUUCAUCAAACUUUUUGAUAAUACAUUCGAAUCGACAAAUCAGUUUAUAUGAAUCAUUUCUUUACUCAACAAAAAUGAAGUUACAUUCACCAAGUUGUUUCAUUUAUUUUUUGUGUAUUUUGUGCCAAAGUAACCUUUUAUUUGUUUCAUCGAUUCCUCUACAAGUUACAUCCACAUUACCAACUUUACUAACAAAUGUGAACUCGUCGACUUCAGAUAAUUAUAACACAACUGAAUGGUCAAGAAAUGAUAAAGUUGAACCACGAUUUUUUCCUUGCAUUUUCUGUUUCGAAUAUGAGCAACUUUCUCUUCCCUGGAAAUUUUUUUACUUUGUUUUUGAGCAAGCUAUCAAAGCCCGUAACACGGUGAUUGAAACUGCAUCCAUACCUUUCAUUUGGUCAACUGAUGCAUUGUUCAAUGGUUUGGAAAAAAUGCCUGAAGUUCGUGAUAACAUAACAAGAAGUAUGGCAAAGACCAAAUGUAAACUCAAUUUAAACUGUCAACUCGAUAGUGC